GGCCUUGAGGGACAUUUUCUUUACUCAUGGUUUGCCUGAAGUUAUCCUCACUGACCAGGGCACUGAAUUCAAGAAAGAGGGACUCACCCUGGCUGGCCAAAGGAUUCCCCUUCAGCCCCUGUGCUUCCAGGAGAUGCUGAAAUGCUGACUUCAUCAUCGGAGGAGGAAACUGAGUGUCAUUGUUUCACGGACCACACAUAUGCUGACCCCACAUCAACCCAGAAACAACUGGUGAGCAGGUU